CACGCCCUAAACGAUGUACACUAGUUGUUGUGAGACUUGAUCUUGCAGUAAUGCAGUUAACACAUUAAGUGUACCGCCUGGGGAGUACGGUCGCAAGAUUAAAACUCAAAGGAAUAGACGGGGACCCGCACAAGCGGUGGAUGAUGUGGUUUAAUUCGAUGCAACGCGAAAAACCUUACCCACCUUUGACAUGGUCGGAACCCUUUAGAGAUAGAGGGGUGCUCGAAAGAGAGCCGAUACACAGGUGC
rnacentral:rRNA from 1 species